GAUGAACGCUGGCGGCGUGCCUAAUACAUGCAAGUCGAGCGAACAGACGAGGAGCUUGCUCCUCUGACGUUAGCGGCGGACGGGUGAGUAACACGUGGAUAACCUACCUAUAAGACUGGGAUAACUUCGGGAAACCGGAGCUAAUACCGGAUAAUAUAUUGAACCGCAUGGUUCAAUAGUGAAAGACGGUUUUGCUGUCACUUAUAGAUGGAUCCGCGCCACAUUAGCUAGUUGGUAAGGUAACGGCUUACCAAGGCAACGAUGCGUAGCCGACCUGAGAGGGUGAUCGGCCACACUGGAACUGAGCCACGGUCCAGACUCCUACGGGAGGCAGCAGUAGGGAAUCUUCCGCAAUGGGCGAAAGCUUGACGGAGCAACGCCGCGUGAGUGAUGAAGGUCUUCGGAUCGUAAAACUCUGUUAUUAGGGAAGAACAAAUGUGUAAGUAACUAUGCACGUCUUGACGGUACCUAAUCAGAAAGCCACGGCUAACUACGUG
rnacentral:rRNA from 1 species